rnacentral:rRNA from 1 species
UACGAAGGGUGCAAACGUUGCUCGGAAUUAUUGGGCGUAAGCGCACGGAGGCGGCUUGGCAAGUCGGAUGUGAAAUCCCUCGGCUUAACCGGGGAACUGCGUCUGAUACUGGAUGGCUUGAGGUUGGGAGAGGGAUGCGGAAUUCCAGGUGUAGCGGUGAAAUGCGUAGAUAUCUGGAGGAACACCGGUGGCGAAGGCGGCAUCCUGGACCAAUUCUCACGCUGAGGAGCGAAAGCCAGGGGAGCAAACGGG